CCCUAAAUUAAAAAUAAACGUUGGCCGAAAUCGCAUACAAAAAGGUGGGAUUGGCAUCGUUACAAUACAACUUGAAAUGUUGGAUGUGGAAAGAAUUUUGAUGGUUGCUUAUAGCUUUUAGCCUUUAAACAUGAAGAUAUUUCCAAUAUAUCUUAUUUUAUUUUCCCUUCAUCCUGUGAACAUCCCGUGCUAAUGUACUUCUAGGAGAAAAAGACAAGAAAAGGAUGAAGCAAAGGCACAGCCAUGCAUGAACCAAUGUCAUAAUUGUUCAACAUAACUUGAGCAUUAUAUAUUCAGCAUGCAGCAGGCCUUCAUCUGAGAUUUUCAAAUGUUUUCAGCUUACUUAAGUUGAUAGUCAAUUGGAGAAGCUCAGAGAAUCAAUAGUUCAGAAGUGUAGAAAAAUGUCAACCGAAGAGAAGAAAAAACUUGGGGUAGCUCUUACUCGAUUGACCUCGAAUGAUCUUAGUAAGGCAUUGGAGAUUGUUGCUGAGAGUGACCCUAACUUCCAAGCAACUGCCCAAGAAGUGGAUCUAAACAUUGAUGCUCAGUUGAACAUUCCCAGUGAAGAAAAAUGCUGUCAGUAACAUUCAGAUUCAAUUUUUAUAAUUAAUCCUUUGUCCAUAUCCACACGGAGUGAGACAACGUGGUGGAAAGGUUUUUUCACAAGAUGCACUAAGAGUUGCAUGCAAGAGUUCUGGAGACACGGGAGGCAACAACAACACCAUCGAUGAAAACAAUGACAGCAACAGGAACAAAAAGAAUAAUAACAAGAACAGUGCCAAACAAAGAAGAAGAUCAGCGAUACACUAAG